rnacentral:lncRNA from 1 species
UUCCCCAUCGUAGUACGAUUUUUUUCGAGCUGAAACACCCCAAAACCUGGUCAAAAUCAUAGCCCGAUGAAUAAAAUCGUAGCCCGAUUUCUGCCUGACAGACAACAUCAGAUUUUCCAAUUUUCACGUUUUCGCGCGUAAAAACCAAACCGUUAACCCGUUUUCGAUGCCGUUUUCGCCUACACGCUCCUGACACUUAGC